GAUGAAGAACGCAGCGAAAUGCGAUACUUGGUGUGAAUUGCAGAAUCCCGUGAACCAUCGAGUCUUUGAACGCAAGUUGCGCCCGAAGCCAUUAGGCCGAGGGCACGCCUGCCUGGGCGUCACACGUCGUUGCCCCCCCAUCUACUCCUUCGGGAUUGCGGGGGGCGGAUGAUGGCCUCCCGUGCGCCUCGCCGCGCGGUUGGCAUAAAAUGCCAAGUCCUCGGCGACGCACGCCACGACAAUCGGUGGUUGCGAAACCUCGGUUGCCCGUCGUGUGCGGUCGUCGCGCAUCGAGGGCUCGAAAAAAUUGCCGGGUUCCGGCUCGGCUUUCAACGCGACCCCAGGUCAGGCGGGGUUACCCGCUGAAUUUAAGCAUAUCAAUAAGCGGAGGA
rnacentral:misc_RNA from 1 species